AGCGAACGCUGGCGGCGUGCUUAACACAUGCAAGUCGAGCGAAGGUGUUUCAAGGGUAACCUUGAGAUACACUUAGCGGCGGACGGGUGAGUAAUACGUGGAUAACUUACCUCUAGGCCUGGGAUAACCCCGGGAAACUGGGGCUAAUACCUGAUAAGACCACAUUGUCUACGGACAAAGGGGUAAAAGGUGGCUGUGCAAACAGCUAUCGCCAAAAGAUAGGUUCACGUCCCAUCAGGCAGUGGUGAGGUAAUGGCUCACCAAACCAAAGACGGGUAGCCGGCCUUGGCGGGUGAACGGCCACACGGGGACUGAGACACGGCCCCGACUCCUACGGGAGGCAGCAGUGGGGAAUAUUGGGCAAUGGGCGCAAGCCUGACCCAGCGACGUCGCGUUGGGGAAGAAGGCCUUC
rnacentral:rRNA from 1 species